UGACAGGUUCCCAUUACAGUGUUGGUGGCUGGGUCUCAUGGCUCUAGCUUCCCUCGUGUAACCUAGUGCUAGGCACAAAAGAAAUAGGAGACUGCAUAGUUGGGGUUUUCAAUGUCUCCCACCAAGAUUUAUGAGGUGGAAAACUCCACCCACAGAUGAAGGGCUCCAAUAUGUUGCAGUCACAAAAAAAGACAUGUUUAAAAUGUCUGAAGUAUUUAUCAACAAGAAAAGAAUGUGCCUCCAUGUCAUUAAGGACUAAAACUUCUAAAAUUGAGACCUAGAAAGUAGACUACAAGCCAUCUAAUCCUGCCUCUUGUUUUACAGAUGAGAAAACAGGGAUGGGAGAGGGUUGAUAACCAACUCAGGUUCACAGCUGGACCAGAACUCAGGUUUCCUGUUGUGAGGCCGGUCGUCAUUGCAUAAUUGUUCCACCUUCCAAGACAACAGAAUCUCCUCGUUGUCAAACUAGAUACCUCUGCAUCUGGUCCUUUUGGCUGGAAACAAGAUCUGCAGCAGCUGUGGAAAGAUAGGUUACAGUGUCAGUAAAUGGCCUGGCUCCCUGAUUCCCAGCACCAAAUUCCCCAGGAAGAAACAGUUGGCCCAGGGUGUCCAUCCCUGUCCUAUGAGCGGUAGCCAGGGGGUCGCACCCCUCUACACAGCAUGCUGUUUCCCAGCGUUAACUACAGGAUGGCGAGGGCAGUUCCAGAAAAAGCUGAGAAACACUAAGACAGCACACUGAUUCCUGUACACGUACAUGAAUUAAUUUAACACUCACGUUAGCUCCAUUCAUUCAUUUGUUCAUUAAAUGUUUAUUGAAUGCG